rnacentral:rRNA from 1 species
UACGGAGGGUGCAAGCGUUAAUCGGAAUUACUGGGCGUAAAGGGUGCGUAGGUGGUCUGAUAAGUUAUGUGUGAAAUUCCUGGGCUCAACCUGGGGUGGUCAGAUAAGACUGUUAGACUCGAGUAUGGGAGAGGGUAGUGGAAUUUCCGGUGUAGCGGUGAAAUGCGUAGAGAUCGGAAGGAACACCAGUGGCGAAGGCGGCUACCUGGCCUAAUACUGACACUGAGGCACGAAAGCGUGGGGAGCAAACAGG